rnacentral:misc_RNA from 1 species
UUGCCGAAGUUGCUCGCCGCACGCCCCUAAACCGCGGGCAAGCUGCAGUGUUGCAGAAUUGAUUCGCUCGCGCGGAGUUCGCAGUUCAGGCAUGCCGCCGGAGCUCGCAACGCCUUCCAUCUGGCACGAUUGAUGCUUCGCAUUUCCUCAAGGAGGUGAUGUGAUGCGAUCAGUCAUUUUCUUGUUUCUGACAGUGGGACUGCUGGUGACCCGCGUCUGCUACGCGCACGACGCGGAUGGACGUCCGAACUGGAUUGCCGAAGGGGCCUA